UCACUUCAGCACUGUAUAUACUAAAAUUGGAAUGAUACAGAGAAGAUUGGCAUGGCCCCUGCACAAGUAUGACAUCAUCAGAAACACUUGGAAACCAGUUUGU